UAUGACCAUGUCACGUUGAAAUACCGGUUCUCGUGCAAUCACCGAAGUUAAGCAAUGUCGAGCCUGCCCAGUACUUCGAUGGAUAACCGCAUGGGAAUAUCAAGUGCUGUAGG